rnacentral:rRNA from 1 species
CCUACGGGAGGCAGCAGUGAGGAAUAUUGGUCAAUGGGCUUACGCCUGAACCAGCCAAGUCGCGUGAGGGAAGACUGCCCUAUGGGUUGUAAACCUCUUUUGUCAGGGAGCAAUUGGCGCUACGUGUAGCGUUAUCGAGAGUACCUGAAGAAAAAGCAUCGGCUAACUCCGUGCCAGCAGCCGCGGUAAUACGGAGGAUGCGAGCGUUAUCCGGAUUUAUUGGGUUUAAAGGGUGCGUAGGCGGAAUGCCAAGUCAGCGGUAAAAUCGCGGGGCUCAACCUCGCUCCGCCGUUGAAACUGGCGGUCUUGAGUGGGAGAGAAGUAUGCGGAAUGCGUGGUGUAGCGGUGAAAUGCAUAGAUAUCACGCAGAACUCCGAUUGCGAAGGCAGCAUACCGGCGCCCAACUGACGCUGAAGCACGAAAGCGUGGGUAUCGAACAGGAUUAGAUACCCCUGUAGUC